rnacentral:lncRNA from 1 species
CUCCUUGUUGAAUUUAAAUAACCGAAUACCCCUUUUUCAAUUUGAACAUAGAAAUUCCAAAAUAAAAAGCUCAUUCUCGAGAAUUCGAUACGUGGUGUCCUAACGCAUUUGAUAUGACGUAUUGCUUUCUCGAGACGAGGAUUUUUCUAACAAAUAAAUAAAGGCAAUAUUUGGUGUUUAGGAAUUUUAAGAAAUUGAACCCUAACUUACUGGGUUUUGAUUUCUCGAUUGACCCAAAUAAUCAGAUAUCCUUCUCAAAAUGCAUAGGUUUAAAAAAAUCAAGAGAUAAACUUAAUUUCGCGGAUUUAAAAUGUUACACUCUAACUUAUUGAGUGUGACAAUCUAUUUCCUUGAAAUAAAUGAGUUUCA